UCAUGUUUUAUAAAUUUGUAUAUAUAUUAUAAUUUCAAAGCCAAAAAAUAAAAAAGGCCCCUAGUCCCCCAGUGGCUUUGAAAAAUUAUUUAAUAGUACAGCAAUACCUUACUCAAGAAAGCUUAACAAAAUAUGAACCGGCAAGGAAUGAGGAAGUGAGCAAAAAUGACCUCAACAUAACAGAAAUAGAUGACAAAAAUAUGAGCAGAAAGGUGCUACAAGAGUCCAUCAAGGUUUCAAUAAUACUGCUUAU